rnacentral:tRNA from 1 species
UGAGAGGUGGCUUAGUGGUUAAAACGCUUAGCUUUCAAGCAAUAUGUCUCAGGUUCGAACCCCGUCUUCUUUA